UCAGACCUGACAGCGAUGCCACAGAAGAUGCACCGUGGUUCAUAACUUUCUGUAAAUCUCCCAAAUGGGCAGAGUUUUCAGAGAGUGGGGGCAAGAAUGGGAGCGCUAUUUCCAGUAAAAUUUAAGGGUCUGUGUGCUGAAGGCUACCUGUGUGUUCUACCUGAAAUGGAGACAGCAGAGAGGAAAAUUCAAAGAAGACAAUCAAGUCCUGAUAAUGCUGUGUGGGGCGCCCAGGCUCACAGGAUGUUUAUCUCUUUGGCUGCUGGAUCACCUGUGCUCAGUAUUUACUCCUCCUCUUCCUCCUCCUCCCCUCCUCCUCCUCGCCUUUACUCUCCUCUUCUUCCUCCUUUCUCGUCUUCCUCUCUCGUCUUCCCCUCCUUUACUUCUCCUCUUCCCUCCCCUUUCUCUCCCUUUUUCUACCUCUCUUCUGCCACGUCAUCUCUUCCAUUUUCUUCUCUUCUUUCUUAUUUCCCCUCAGUCUUCUUUUCCUUUCUCCUUGUCUUCUUUUCCUUCCUCCUCCUUCCUCUCCUAAGCAGAUUUGAAUUUGAUUUUUUUUUUAAAUACAUAUUCACAGCUCUGGAAAAUCAAAUGCUUCGUUAAAUCCCCUAAUUGAAUUCUGCUCUGUCACAGUUCAAACAGUGGUUCCUGAGCUUAUCUACAAAUGUCAAAAUCCCACCGUGAUGAUGAGAGUGUGAGUGGAUCUGGAGCCUAUCUUCACAGCUCUCAAACGUGGCCUCUCACUUAGAAAUGAAGCCACUGCCCUUCAUGCACAAGAGUUUCUUUCAUGCCUUCCCAGUAGCUCUGUCUGUGUGCUUGCAGAGGCAGAACUGGCCUGAACUGUGCACAGAGUCCCCAUUGCCAGCUCUGCUACUUUUUUUCUUUUUUCUUUUUUCUUUCUGGCAACCCAGCCUCCAGUCAAGAUUUCUGGACCAUUUCCAAUUACAACACCAUUUAGAAACACUCGACAUAUUCCAGUCUUUCGUAAUGUAUUGAUGUAUUUUAAAAUAGGAACUGUUCACAUGGACACUCAUUUUAAAAUCUUUUUAUUAUAAUUUUACUUACACAUAUGCAAAUACAAAACACUGCAUAUCCUUAGGCUUACAGCUGCUAGACAAUUACAAAAAUAAAUUUACAGAUCAGAUGUAAAAUAAACUAUAA
rnacentral:lncRNA from 1 species